UUCUAUAAAAAGAGUAAUAGGUUUGUAUUCCUGGCAAGGCUUUCAAAACAAAAUGUUGAAGAAUAGUAAAGGUAGGACACUGAAAUACAUUCUUUUAGAAAGGCAUAACUUAAAAUUUGCUCCUACAACCUUCUGCAUUAUAUAUGGAAACUUUUUCUCUUUUCCUUGAAGCAAUAACAGUCUGCGGGAUGUAAUUUUGUCUGUUUUAUUUGUCCUUUUUUGGUGACAACUGAUAAUGUUUAAUUCAUAUCAGAUGUUUUUCACUGAUUCAGUUGCUCAAAAGUUGAAUUGAAAGCAGGAGUUACAUUGAAAUUUGAAUAUUAAGAUAUCUUUAAGCUUCCUGCUCAAAAGAAUAUGUCAAAAAAGUGCUUGAAGAAGCACAAGAAGUUUGUGAUAUAUUCUCAAGAGAAAAAGACACUCACUGCAGCCCCAGAAUCACUAAUACUGUAAAAGGUGUUGUUUGUUUCAAUUGGAAUUCAUAUUGCAAAAUAUAGCUAUUUUACUUGUACUUGUACUUGUAAGUGUUCAGGCUACAGUCACAUUAUGUAGGCAUUCUGAGGAUCAAAUGUUGGAUAGAGCUGGAAAAUUAUUUCUCAUUCUGACAAAAUGACUUCUGGAUAGGUUUACACAUGUCUAAAUAGAUUUACAGCAUUAUGUACAGGUUUUAUAACUUAUUUUCAGUGCAGGUAAUAGUGACUUUGUCAGAAAAAAUGCCACAAUUGAAUCUAGGAGUAAUCAGAAUUGAAAUAAUGGUACAUAUUAGAAGUGAACUGUCUCCCUUUAAUUCUUUAUAAUUAUAAUAUUUCAACUUUUAACUGUUUCAGUAAGGUAUUUUGGGCUUUGAAAUGUUAUUUUAUGUACAAGUAGUUUGACAGACAGUCUUAAUUGUAAAAAUGUGUUCUAAAAGAUGUAUUUAGGCUGUCCAUGGUCUAAAAUUGUGUGAAAAUAAACCUAAAAAUGGCACUCUAGGGAUGCUUGACAGCUAUUUAUUUGAGAGUAAAGUACUUCUCAAGGUACAGUUGACAUAAGACACUGUGACAUACUAUACAGAAAGUGGUACUGAUGGCUAGAAUUUUGGAUGAGAGUGAAAACAACACAUUUGUUACUUUGGCUUCACAGUUUUUAUUUGUUUCAAGAAGAGCAAUGUCAUUUACAGGUGAAUUCCAUUGGGUUUACACAUGUUCAUGUGAUGUAGCUGGGACUGAAUUGAGUGCCGUGGAGAGCAAAUUUUGUGGACCCAGUUUUGAAUUGAAGAGCUGUCCACAGUUUACAACAUUGAAUUCCCAAGUGGUUGAUCAGUCAAAUUUAAGAUUACAAGGAAGGGGAGCGGUGGUGUAGUGGAUAAGGUGUUGGCCGCUCAAUCCAGGGGUUGUGGGUUUGAGCUGCACUGAGGUCACGACCAUGACUUCUCAUCUGACACCAGUACUGGUUUUUACAGGAAGCGGACUUGAGAGUGAUUCCAAUAAGCUUGAAGCUUUCAUCACAAUCGAGCUAAAACAAAUUAGUUUAAACUAAUUAAAGGCUCACUAUCAUACAUGCAAACUUUAUUUCACAAUGUAAAAGAGGCAAGAAUGAUGUUAUUCUCUCAAAGCUUUGAUUUCAGCUAUUUCAGUUUGAAUUAUAUAUGUGUGCAUAAUUAUAUAUACUCCAGGUUCUUUUCAUUCUUAAGGGACUUUUACACACAUGUGUUUGAUAUUGGGUCAUCUGGGGUCAAAAACUCGGCCACUAGGUCAAAUCAAAGGAAAAGCUUGUUAACACUCUAGAGGUCACAUUUAUGACUGUAUCUUCAUGAAACUUGGUCAGAAUGUUAAUCUUAAUGAUCUCAAUGUCCAGUUUGUCACAAUUUUGGCCCAAUCUUAAUGAAAAUUGGUCAGAAUGUUACCCUCAAUAAAAUCUUGGACGAGUUUGAUAUUGGGUCAACUAGUCAAAAACUAGGUCACCAGGUCAAAUCAAAGGAAAAGCUUGUUAACACUGUAGAGGCCACAUUUAUGACUGUAUCUUCAUGAAACUUGGUCAGAAUGUUAAUCUUAAUGAUCUCAAUGUCCAGGUUGAAUCUGGGUCAUGUAGAAUCAAAAACUAGGUCACCAGGUCAAAUCAAAGGAAAAGCUAGUUUAACUGUAGAGGCCACAUUUAUGACCAUAUCUUAAUGAAACUUGGUCUGUAUGUUGUUAAUCUUAAACAGUUAAACAGUUUGCUGCUGAUAACUUGAGAACGCUUAUGUCUAGGAUCAUAAUUUUUUGUACACAGGUGUAACAUUAUAAAAUACAGGUCAAGUUCGACUUUAAAGUUUCAGUGACCCGGAAAAUUAAAACGGUUUCGGACAAUAACUUUAGAACGCUUUGGACUAGGAUCAUGGAACUUACUAGGGAGAUUAGUCAUGACCAGCAGAUAACCCCUAUUGAUUUUGAGUUCCAAAGGUCAAAGGUCAGAGUGACCUGGAACAUUAAACAUUUUCCGGACAUUUACUUAGGCCGAAUAUCAUGAAACUUCAUAGGGAGGUUGAUCAUGACCUGUAUUGAUUUUUAGGUCAGUAGGUCAAAGGUCAAGCAAGUUCAGCUUUGACAUUGGCUUAGUUCUUUGACAAGGUCAUGUUUGGGGGUAUAAAUCGUCACUCCUGUGACAACUCUAGAUCAACGUUUAUGAAAUUUGUAUUUAUAUAUAUUUAUAUGUAUUUAUAUGAAAACACCACAAUGAAUAAAAUAGAAUAUAUACUAAACAAAAUAAAAUA